rnacentral:rRNA from 1 species
AUUGAACGCUGGCGGCAGGCCUAACACAUGCAAGUCGAGCGGAGCGGCGGACGGGAGAGUAAUGACUAGGAAGCAGACUGGGAGUGGGGGAGAACGUCCGGAAACGGGAGGUAAUAAAUAAUACUAUCAGAUGAGCCUAGGCCGGAUUAGCUAGUUGGUGGGGGAGAGGCCUACCAAGGCGACGAGCCGUAACUGGUCUGAGAGGAGGAUCAGUCACACUGGAACUGAGACACGGUCCAGACUCCUACGGGAGGCAGCAGGGGGGAAUAUUGGCCAAUUGGCGCAAGCCUGAUCCAGCCAUGCCGCGUGUGUGAAGAAGGUCUUCGGAUUGUAAAGCACUUUCAGUUGGGAGGCGUUACCCACAGAAUAAGCACCGGCUAACUUCGUGCCAGCAGCCGCGGUAAUAC